GUAAGGCUAUGUCUUGCCAGGACAGAUGAUUGAGAUAUUAUAUAUAUAUAUAUAUAUAUAUAUAUAUAUAUAUAUAUAUAUAUAUAUAUAUAUAUAUAUAUAUAUAUAUAUAUAUAUAUAUAUAUAUAAUAUCUCAAUCAUCUGUCCUGGCAAGACAUAGCCUUAC